rnacentral:rRNA from 1 species
AUUGAACGCUGGCGGCAGGCUUAACACAUGCAAGUCGAGCGGGGUGAUGGUGCUUGCACUAUCACUUAGCGGCGGACGGGUGAGUAAUGCUUAGGAAUCUGCCUAUUAGUGGGGGACAACAUCUCGAAAGGGAUGCUAAUACCGCAUACGUCCUACGGGAGAAAGCAGGGGAUCACUUGUGACCUUGCGCUAAUAGAUGAGCCUAAGUCGGAUUAGCUAGUUGGUGGGGUAAAGGCCUACCAAGGCGACGAUCUGGAGCGGGUCUGAGAGGAUAAUCCGCAACACUGGGACUGAGACACGGCCCAGACUCCUACGGGAGGCAGCAGUGGGGAAUAUUGGACAAUGGGGGGAACCCUGAUCCAGCCAUGCCGCGUGUGUGAAGAAGGCCUUAUGGUUGUAAAGCACUUUAAGCGAGGAGGAGGCUCUUUUGGUUAAUACCCAAGAUGAGUGGACGUUACUCGCAGAAUAAGCACCGGCUAACUCUGUGCCAGCCGCCGCGGUAA